rnacentral:rRNA from 1 species
UACGUAGGGUGCAAGCGUUGUCCGGAAUUAUUGGGCGUAAAGGGCUCGUAGGCGGUCUGUCACGUCGGGAGUGAAAACUCGGGGCUUAACCCCGAGCCUGCUUCCGAUACGGGCAGACUAGAGGUAUGCAGGGGAGAAUGGAAUUCCUGGUGUAGCGGUGAAAUGCGCAGAUAUCAGGAGGAACACCGGUGGCGAAGGCGGUUCUCUGGAGAGUUCCUGACGCUGAGGCACGAAGGCCAGGGGAGCAAACGGG